rnacentral:rRNA from 1 species
UACGGAGGAUGCAAGCGUUAUCCGGAUUUAUUGGGUUUAAAGGGAGCGUAGGCGGUCUUAUAAGUCAGUGGUGAAAUCCUAUCGCUUAACGAUAGACGUGCCAUUGAUACUGUAGGACUUGAGUACAGAUGCCGUUGGCGGAAUGUGUCAUGUAGCGGUGAAAUGCAUAGAUAUGACACAGAACACCGAUUGCGAAGGCAGCUGACGAAACUGUAACUGACGCUGAGGCUCGAAAGCGUGGGGAUCAAACAGG